rnacentral:rRNA from 1 species
UGCUUGUCUCAAAGAUUAAGCCAUGCAUGUCUCAGUACAAGCCACAUUAAGGUGAAACCGCGAAAGGCUCAUUAAAUCAGUUAUGGUUCCUUAGAUCGUACCCACAUUUACUUGGAUAACUGUGGUAAUUCUAGAGCUAAUACAUGCAAACAGAGUUCCGACCGGAGACGGGAGGAAUGCUUUUAUUAGAUCAAAACCAAUCGGCGGCGGGCGCGUUUCANCGCGCUCUCGCCGCUCAACUUGGUGACUCUGAAUAACUUUCGGCUGAUCGCACGGUCUUGCACCGGCGACGCAUCUUUCAAAUGUCUGCCUUAUCAACUGUCGAUGGUAGGUUCUGCGCCUACCAUGGUCGUAACGGGUAACGGGGAAUCAGGGUUCGAUUCCGGAGAGGGAGCCUGAGAAACGGCUACCACAUCCAAGGAAGGCAGCAGGCGCGCAAAUUACCCACUCCCGGCACGGGGAGGUAGUGACGAAAAAUAACGAUACGGGACUCAUCCGAGGCCCCGUAAUCGGAAUGAGUACACUUUAAAUCCUUUAACGAGGAUCAAUUGGAGGGCAAGUCUGGUGCCAGCAGCCGCGGUAAUUCCAGCUCCAAUA